rnacentral:rRNA from 1 species
GACGAACGCUGGCGGCGUGCUUAACACAUGCAAGUCGAACGGAAAGGCCUCUUUCGGGGGGUACUCGAGUGGCGAACGGGUGAGUAACACGUGAGUAACCUGCCCUUGACUUUGGGAUAACUUCAGGAAACUGGGGCUAAUACCGGAUAGGAGCUCCUGCUGCAUGGUGGGGGUUGGAAAGUUUCGGCGGUUGGGGAUGGACUCGCGGCUUAUCAGCUUGUUGGUGGGGUAGUGGCUUACCAAGGCUUUGACGGGUAGCCGGCCUGAGGGGGUGACCGGCCACAUUGGGACUGAGAUACGGCCCAGGCUCCUACGGGAGGCAGCAGUGGGGAAUAUUGCACAAUGGGUGGAAGCCUGAUGCAGCAACGCCGUGUGCGGGAUGACGGCCUUCGGGUUGUAAACCGCUUUCGCUCAUGACGAAGCUUUGUGUGACGGUAGUGGGUAAAGAAGCACCGGCUAACUACGUG